AAUAUAAGAAAUUAGUGCUACGCCGGGUUGAACGGGAUUCAUUGAUGUUGAUUAGUACGGGAGAUUUCUAGCUCUCUAGCACUA
rnacentral:tRNA from 1 species